rnacentral:rRNA from 1 species
GACGAACGCUGGCGGCGUGCUUAACACAUGCAAGUCGAACGGACAGGCCCUGCUUUUGUGGGGUGCUCGAGUGGCGAACGGGUGUGUAACACGUGAGUAACCUGCCCUUGACUUUGGGAUAACUUCAGGAAACUGGGGAUAAUACCGGAUAGGAGCUCCUGCUGCAUGGUGGGGGUUGGAAAGUUUCGGCGGUUGGGGAUGGACUAGCGGCUUAUCAGCUUGUUGGUGGGGUAGUGGCUUACCAAGGCUUUGACGGGUAGCCGGCCUGAGAGGGUGACCGGCGACAUUGGGACUGAGAGACGGACCAGACGCCUACGUGAGGCAGCAGUGGGGAACAUGGCACAAUGGGCGGAAGCCUGAUACAGCAACGCCGCGUGCGUGAUGACGUCCUUCGGGGUGUAAACCGCUUUCUCCGGUGACGAAGCGUGAGUGACGGUAAUGGGUAAAGAAGCACCGGCUAACUACGUG